rnacentral:rRNA from 2 species
UUGACCUCGAAUCAGGUAGGAAUACCCGCUGAACUUAAGCAUAUCAAUAAGCGGAGGAAAAGAAACCAACCGGGAUUACCUCAGUAACGGCGAGUGAAGCGGUAACAGCUCAAAUUUGAAAUCUGGCUCCUCUGGAGUCCGAGUUGUAAUUUGUAGAAGAUGCUUUGGGUUGUGGGUUCGGCCUAAGUUCCUUGGAACAGGACGUCAUAGAGGGUGAGAAUCCCGUAUGUGGCCGAGGCCCGCGCCUAUGUAAAGCUCUUUCAACGAGUCGAGUUGUUUGGGAAUGCAGCUCAAAAUGGGUGGUAAAUUUCAUCUAAAGCUAAAUAUGGGCCAGAGACCGAUAGCGCACAAGUAGAGUGAUCGAAAGAUGAAAAGCACUUUGGAAAGAGAGUUAAACAGUACGUGAAAUUGUUGAAAGGGAAGCGCUUGCACCCAGACUUGGGCGCUGCUGAUCACCUUGCGGUCUCCGCGAGUGCACUCGACAGCGCACAGGCCAGCAUCGGUUCGGGUGGCUGGAUAAAGGCCGUAGGAACGUAGCUCCCUUCGGGGAGUGUUAUAGCCUACGGUGCCAUGCAGCCCAGCCGGACCGAGGACCGCGCCUUCGGGCUAGGAUGCUGGCGUAAUGGGUGUAAGCGACCCGUCUUGAAACACGGACCAAGGAGUCUAACAUCUAUGCGAGUGUUUGGGUGGCAAACCCAUACGCGGAAUGAAAGUGAACGUAGGUGAGAACCCCUUUGGGGCGCAUCAUCGACCGAUCCUGAUGUCUUCGGAUGGAUUUGAGUAAGAGCAUAGC